rnacentral:rRNA from 1 species
GACGAACGCUGGCGGCGUGCUUAACACAUGCAAGUCGAACGGAGUGGCGAACGGGUGAGUAACACGUGGGUGAUCUGCCUUGCACUUCGGGAUAAGCUUGGGAAACUGGGUCUAAUACCGGAUAGUGCAAGAUGAGCUCGCGGCCUAUCAGCUUGUUGGUGGGGUAAUGGCCUACUAAGGCGUCGACGGGUAGCCGGCCUGGGAAGGUGUACGGCGACAUGGGGACUGAGGUACGGAGCAGACUCCUACGGGAGGCAGUAGAGGGGAGUAUUGCACAAUGGGCGGAAGCGUGAUGCAGCGACGCUGGGUGGGGGAUGAAGGGCUUUGGGUUGUAAACUACUUUCGAAAGGGACGCGGUACCUGUAUAAGAAGCACCGGCUAACUACGUGCCAGCAGCCGCGGUAAUUC